AUCCUUUUAAUUAAGUUAGACCUAAGGUUAGAACCAAAGACUUAAUGGACUAAAAAGAGUCGUUGAUCAAAUCUAACCAAUAGUUGAUUUAGAUUAGGUCAAGGAUACUCUAGAUCAAAUAUAAUAGUUAUAGUUAAUCGAGUCUAUAUCUUUGAUUAAACUAAAUAGACCUUGAUUGAGGCUCAAUAAUUGAGCUCGAGUCAUUGGACUGAUUAAAUCACUUAGUGAUU
rnacentral:lncRNA from 1 species